rnacentral:rRNA from 1 species
UACGUAGGGUGCAAGCGUUAAUCGGAAUUACUGGGCGUAAAGCGUGCGCAGGCGGUUAUGCAAGACAGGUGUGAAAUCCCCGAGCUCAACUUGGGAACUGCACUUGUGACUGCAUAGCUAGAGUACGGUAGAGGGGAGUGGAAUUCCACGUGUAGCAGUGAAAUGCGUAGAGAUGUGGAGGAAUACCGAUGGCGAAGGCAGCCCCCUGGGAUAACACUGACGCUCAUGCACGAAAGCGUGGGGAGCAAACAGG